rnacentral:rRNA from 1 species
GAUGAACGCUGGCGGCGUGCUUAACACAUGCAAGUCGAACGGAAAGGCUCCUGCUUGCAGGGGCACUCGAGUGGCGAACGGGUGAGUAACACGUGGGUGAUCUGCCCUGCACUUCGGGAUAAGCCUGGGAAACUGGGUCUAAUACCGGAUAGGACCAUCGUUUAGUGUCGGUGGUGGAAAGUUUUUUCGGUGUGGGAUGAGCUCGCGGCCUAUCAGCUUGUUGUUGGGGUAAUGGUCUACCAAGGCGUCGCCGGGUAGCCGGCCUGAGAGGGUGUACGGCCACAUUGGGACUGAGAUACGGACCAGACUCCUACGGGAGGCAGCAGUGGGGAAUAUUGCACAGUGGGCGCAAGCCUGAUGCAGCGACGCCGCGUGGGGGAUGACGGCCUUCGGGUUGUAAACUCCUUUCGCCAGGGACGAAGCGAAAGUGACGGUACCUGGAUAAGAAGCACCGGCUAACUACGUG